UUGAGCUGUCUUGGAGAUUCCUUUGCAAAUUUUCAUUGCCCAAGAGGGUCCUUCUAGAUGCUGAAAUGUUGAGAGGGAUAUGACCCUGGAGUUUAGCACCAUUUGAUUCCUCCGUUUCUCCUUUUUGAUUCCCAUUACUGACCGAAUCCAUUCUCUCACUCAAAAAUUGAGCUUUGUCAAUCAGUUUUGUAGAUAUGUCAUUGGAAUUGAAAUGUUAAUAAUAUGAAGGAGUACUCCAAUAUGCAAAAUCUCUAUGUUUAGUCCAAUAUUGAAACCUCUUGAUU
rnacentral:misc_RNA from 1 species